AUGAACGCUGGCGGCGUGCCUAAUACAUGCAAGUCGAGCGAACAGACGAGGAGCUUGCUCCUCUGACGUUAGCGGCGGACGGGUGAGUAACACUUGGAUAACCUACCUAUAAGACUGGGAUAACUUCGGGAAACCGGAUCUAAUACCGGAUAAUAUAUUGAACCGCAUGGUUCAAUAGUGAAAGACGGUUUUGCUGUCACUUAUAGAUGGAUCCGCGCCGCAUUAGCUAGUUGGUAAGGUAACGGCUUACCAAGGCAACGAUGCGUAGCCGACCUGAGAGGGGGAUCGGCCACACUGGAACUGAGACACGGUCCAGAUUCCUACGGGAGGCAGCAGUAGGGAAUCUUCCGCAAUGGGCGAAAGCCUGACGGAGCAACGCCGCGUGAGUGAUGAAGGUCUUCGGAUCGUAAAACUCUGUUAUUAGGGAAGAACAAAUGUGUAAGUAACUAUGCACGUCUUGACGGUACCUAAUCAGAAAGCCACGGCUAACUACGUG
rnacentral:rRNA from 1 species